rnacentral:rRNA from 1 species
AGUGAACGCUGGCGGUAGGCCUAACACAUGCAAGUCGAACGGCAGCACAGUAAGAGCUUGCUCUUACGGGUGGCGAGUGGCGGACGGGUGAGGAAUACAUCGGAAUCUACUUUUUCGUGGGGGAUAACGUAGGGAAACUUACGCUAAUACCGCAUACGACCUACGGGUGAAAGCAGGGGAUCUUCGGACCUUGCGCGAUUGAAUGAGCCGAUGUCGGAUUAGCUAGUUGGCGGGGUAAAGGCCCACCAAGGCGACGAUCCGUAGCUGGUCUGAGAGGAUGAUCAGCCACACUGAAACUGAGACACGGUCCAGACCCCUACGGGAGGCAGCAGUGGGGAAUAUUGGACAAUGGGCGCAAGCCUGAUCCAGCCAUACCGCGUGGGUGAAGAAGGCCUUCGGGUUGUAAAGCCCUUUUGUUGGGAAAGAAAAGCAGCAGGUUAAUACCCCGCUGUUCUGACGGUACCCAAAGAAUAAGCACCGGCUAACUUCGUG